UACGGGGGGGGCAAGCGUUGUUCGGAAUUACUGGGCGUAAAGGGCUCGUAGGUGGCCAACUAAGUCAGACGUGAAAUCCCUCGGCUUAACCGGGGAACUGCGUCUGAUACUGGAUGGCUUGAGAUUGGGAGAGGGAUGCGGAAUUCCAGGUGUAGCGGUGAAAUGCGUAGAUAUCUGGAGGAACACCGGUGGCGAAGGCGGCAUCCUGGACCAACACUGACGCUGAGGAGCGAAAGCGUGGGGAGCGAACAGG
rnacentral:rRNA from 1 species